UACGUAGGGUCCGAGCGUUGUCCGGAGUUACUGGGCGUAAAGCGCGCGCAGGCGGCGGCGCAAGCCUGGCGUGAAAGCCCCCGGCUCAACCGGGGAGGGUCGUCGGGGACUGCGUCGCUUGAGGACGGCAGGGGCCGGUGGAAUGCCCGGUGUAGUGGUGAAAUGCGUAGAGAUCGGGCAGAACACCCGUGGCGAAGGCGGCCGGCUGGGCCGUUCCUGACGCUGAGGCGCGAAGGCGUGGGGAGCGAACGGG
rnacentral:rRNA from 1 species